rnacentral:rRNA from 1 species
UACGAAGGGGGCUAGCGUUGCUCGGAAUCACUGGGCGUAAAGGGUGCGUAGGCGGGUCUUUUAAGUCAGGGGUGAAAUCCUGGAGCUCAACUCCAGAACUGCCUUUGAUACUGGCGAUCUUGAGUCCGGGAGAGGUGAGUGGAACUCCGAGUGUAGAGGUGAAAUUCGUAGAUAUUCGGAAGAACACCAGUGGCGAAGGCGGCUCACUGGCCCGGUACUGACGCUGAUGUGCGAAAGCGUGGGGAGCAAACAGG